rnacentral:rRNA from 1 species
AAUCAACGCUGGCGGCGUGCCUAAUACAUGCAAGUCGAGGGAGAAUGUUGGAUUCGUCUGACAUGAAACCGGCGCACGGGUGCGUAACACGUAUGCAACCUACCUUUAACUGGGGUAUAGCUCAGAGAAAUCUGAAUUAAUCCCCCAUAAGACUACGACAUGGCAUCAUGAUGUAGUUAAAGCUCCGGCGGUUAAGGAUGGGCAUGCGGUACAUUAGCUAGUUGGUGAGGUAAUGGCUCACCAAGGCUACGAUGUAUAGGGGGUCUGAGAGGCUGAUCCCCCACACUGGUACUGAGCAACGGACCAGACUCCUACGGGAGGCAGCAGUAGGGAAUAUUGGUCAAUGGACGCAAGUCUGAACCAGCCAUGCCGCGUGAAGGAUGAAGGCCCUAUGGGUCGUAAACUUCUUUUAUUAGGGAAGAAAAAACGGGAUGCGUCCUGUACUGACGGUACUUAAUGAAUAAGGAUCGGCUAACUUCGUGCCAGCCGCCGCCGUAA